rnacentral:rRNA from 1 species
AUUGAACGCUGGCGGCAUGCCUAAUACAUGCAAGUCGAACGGUAACGGACCGCUGGGAUUCCUUCGGGAUGACCUUGGUGCCGACGAGUGGCGGACGGGUGAGUAAUACUUAGGAAUCUGCCCAGUAGUGGGGGACAACAUUCGGAAACGGAUGCUAAUACCGCAUACGCCCUACGGGGGAAAGUGGGGGAUCUUCGGACCUCACGCUAUUGGAUGAGCCCAAGUCGGAUUAGCUUGUUGGUAGGGUAACGGCUUACCAAGGCGACGAUCCGUAGCUGGUCUGAGAGGACGAUCAGCCACACUGGGACUGAGACACGGCCCAGACUCCUACGGGAGGCAGCAGUAGGGAAUAUUGGACAAUGGGCGCAAGCCUGAUCCAGCAAUGCCGCGUGUGUGAAGAAGGCCUGCGGGUUGUAAAGCACUUUCAGUAGAGAAGAAAAGCCUCGGGUUAAUACCCCGGAGUCUUGACGUAACCUACAGAAGAAGCACCGGCUAACUCCGUG